rnacentral:tRNA from 1 species
AGGGGUAUAGCUUAGUGCUAGAGCAAUUGCCUAGCAAGCAUGAUGCCCUGGUUCAAUACCCAGUACCUCCA